rnacentral:rRNA from 1 species
UACGAGGGGGGCUAGCGUUGCUCGGAAUCACUGGGCGUAAAGGGUGCGUAGGCGGGUUCUUAAGUCAGAGGUGAAAUCCUGGAGCUCAACUCCAGAACUGCCUUUGAUACUGAGAGUCUUGAGUUCGGGAGAGGUGAGUGGAACUGCGAGUGUAGAGGUGAAAUUCGUAGAGAUGCGGAAGAACACCAGUGGCGAAGGCGGCUCACUGGCCCGAUACUGACGCUGAGGCGCGAAAGCGUGGGGAGCAAACAGG